rnacentral:misc_RNA from 1 species
GAUGAAGAACGUAGUGAAACGCGAAAGGUAAUGCGAAUUGCAGAAUCAGUGAAUCAUCGAAUCUUUGAACGCACAUUGCGCCCUUUGGUAUUCCUUAGGGCAUGCCUGUUCGAGCGUCAUUUAAACCUUCAAGCUAAGCUUGGUGUUGGGUGACUGUCCGCUUCACGGCGGACUCGCCUCAAAAUUAUUGGCGGCCGGUACAUUGGCUUCGAGCGCAGCAGAAACGCGAACUCGGGCCCGUCGUAUUGGCUCCCAGAAGCUAUCUUCACAAUUUUGACCUCGGAUCAGGUAGGGAUACCCGCUGAACUUAAGCAUAUCAAUAAGCGGAGGA